CCUUCAUUGAUUUACCUCAAACCUGUUGUGAUGUAAGUUAAUGAUGCCUUAACCACGCUGUUUGCUGAGCUUGACUCCGGGCAGUGUGGCUAUUUU
rfam:Streptococcus sinensis strain HKT4 scaffold50, whole genome shotgun sequence.